AUUUACAUAUAAUUUGACGGUUUAUUAUGAUAAAUAUCAAAAAUCUAAAAGGUGUGCUUCAUAGAGUACACACACAUGAACACAGUACAGUAAGUUUUGUGGCUGUAAGUCUUUCCCUUUAAAUGCUAUUGAGCUUUUAAAAAAAUAUUUUAAUGUGUAUGUAACUUUAGAGACGGUCCCUACAUUCACGAAUAUCGAACGUCCAACGUCAAACCAACUUUAUCCCAGUCAUGCAGUAGUGUAGGCUACUGUUGGAUUUACUGAAAAGUCGUUGAUACUGGCUGAUUUAUUUUGAGUCGGAUGGGUUUUCAUGCAUGUCAAAGGUGAGUAACUGAAGGAAUUUGUGGAUAAGUGCUUUUUGUAGACGCGAACCGUUUCGAACGAUUCAGUCCGAUUUGGUGAACCGGUUAUACCGAUUCGUUCGCGAACCGGCCAUCACUAUACUAUGGUAGCCAGGCAGGCACCGCGGGAAACAUCUCUGAGAACAGCCGUGAGCAGUAGCGUGCGAGUGACAGUGAAGAAAUUUCUUCCGCUCCGAUGGAAAUAUAUGACAUGUAGGCUACAUUUAAAGCGCCAAUCCUUUUGAAACUGAGGAAAACAACGCGCCUUUAGCGCCUGCUUCACUAUUACUCGUCACCAUGUCAGUCAAAGCAACCGACCACCGGAUCAGGUUCUGGGGAUCUAAUGCUUGUGAUAAUCUACAGCAGAUGACCAUGACAAUCCAGGUUCUGUGGAUCGACUGCUUGUGCUAAUCUACCGCAGGUGACCAUAACAAUCCAGCAGAUAACGUCAGGAUUUUUAGAAGGCAUAUAAUGACAGUGAGCGGGACCAAAACUCUGACAAUCCAAGUCACCUAUAGGUAGCAUAAGUAAUCUAUAUGACUCAAGUUGCUCAAAUAAUGUCUAGAUGUGUAACGAAUACCUUGCAUGUACAGAGCUAUGUUCUGAAUCUGAUAUACUCCGCUUGUAUUCCCACUGUCAGAUGAACAUUUAAAAAAAUAUAUAUUCUUGCAUUUCCCCAGAAUGUCUUUUUCUGUUUCAUUGAAGGUACAAAAUAAAGUACUGUUUUGUAA